rnacentral:lncRNA from 1 species
AUCUGAGACCACCACGAUAACUUGUAAGCAACUUACUGUACUUUAGUAUCAGACCAUCUAAGUUUCUAACUUUGUGAUGGAAGGAUACUGGGUGCAGUCAAGUACUUAUCAAGUCGGUGUAUGAGUCAAGAUGGAAUUGACCCCUCUGAAUUGGUAGAAGAUAUACAUCAGUGUAUUUCAAUUUAGAAAAAUCUUGGCUAGGGUAAUCCAUGAGAUGGAAUUGAAAAGUUAAAAUACAAUGUGAUUGACUUAAUUAGGGUUGAC